rnacentral:rRNA from 1 species
ACUCGGCGGGCGGCUUCCGGGAAAACAAAGUUUUUCGGUUCCGGGGGAAGUAUGGUUGCAAAGCUGAAACUUAAAGGAAUUGACGGAAGGGCACCACCAGGAGUGGAGCCUGCGGCUUAUAUUUGACUCAACACGGGAAAACUUACCCGCGCCCGGACACUGUAAGGAUUGACAGAUUGAGAGCUCUUUCUUGAUUCAGUGGGUGGUGGUGCAGGGCCGUUCUUAGUUGGGGGAGCGAUUUGUCUGGUUUUUUCCUAUAACGAACGAGACUCUAGCCUACUAAAUAGACUGUCGGCUUACAAACGUCG